AUGAGCGACUUGGCGAUUGGAAUCGAUUUGGGUACUACGUACUCCUGCGUUGGUGUUUUUCGGCAUGGAAAAGUUGAAAUUAUUGCGAACGAUCAAGGUAAUAGAACUACGCCGAGUUAUGUCGCUUUUACGAAAACCGAAAUCUUGGUUGGAGAGCCAGCCAAAAAACAGGCCACUAGAAACCUACGUAAUACAGUUUUCGAUGUCAAGAGACUGAUGGGUCGUAAAUUUAAUGAUGAUAAGGUUCAGGCCGACAUAAGGCAUUGGCCCUACCAGCUCAUUGACGAUAACAACAACCCGAAAAUCAAAGUUGAAUUUCAAGGCAAGUCAAAAACGUACUGCCCGGAAGAAAUUUCAUCGAUGGUAUUGCGAAAAAUGAAAGAGACAGCUGAAGCAUAUCUAGGUAAAACUGUCAAGAAUGCUGUUAUAACUGUACCUGCCUACUUUAACGAUUCUCAAAGAGCAGCUACCGUAGAUGCCGCUAAAAUCGCUGAUUUAAACGUGCUACGUAUCAUUAAUGAACCUACUGCUGCCGCAAUUGCUUACGGCCUAGAGGAAAAAAAUUCCGACGUGCAAAACGUGUUGAUUUUCGAUCUCGGUGGCGGAACUUUCGAUGUGUCCAUUUUAACACUCCAGAACGGUGUUUUCGAAGUGAUUUCAACUGCCGGUGACACUCACUUGGGUGGCGAAGAUUUUGAUAACAAAAUGGUCAACUAUUUCGUUGAAAAAAUCAAACGUAAUAAAUACAAUAAAGAUCUCUCGGAAAACAAGAGAGCCCUGCACCGUCUGCGAGUUGCUUGCGAAGGAGCGAAGAGAACUUUAUCAUCAGCCACCGCAGCUGAUAUAGAUGUUGAGUCUCUUUUCGAUAGUGUCGAUUUCUACAGCCCAAUCUCUCGUGCUCGUUUUGAAGAACUAAACUCGGACUUCUUCAAAAGUGCAAUGGAGCUAGUUGAAAAAGCUAUCCACGAUGCUAACAUGAACAAAUCUAAAAUCGAUCACAUCGUUUUAGUCGGUGGUUCAUCGCGUAUCCCAAGAAUUCAAACAAUGUUACAAGAUUUCUUCGACGGAAAGGAACUGAGCAAAUUGAUUAAUCCCGACGAGGCAGUAGCGCAUGGAGCUGCUGUACAAGCUGCCAUACUAAACGGUGUCACGUCGAAGGAGGUAGAAGGCUUGGUGUUGAUGGAUGUUACACCAAUAUCCUUAGGAGUCGAGGCUAAACCAUUUUACGAUAACAGAGGUGAUCUUAAAAUGGCUGUGGUUAUUAAACGUAACACUCCAAUUCCAGCCAGACAAACUAAACCUUUUCCAACAUGUAUGGAUUAUCAAACCUGUAUGUUGAUUAAAGUAUUGGAAGGCGAGUAUGAUCUCGCGAAGGAUAAUCAUUUGCUGGGUGAAUUUAUACUUACUGGAAUCCCUUCUAAACCCGUUAUGGAAGCUAAAGUUGAUGUAACCUUCGAAAUCGAUGCUAAUGGUAUAUUGAACGUAACUGCCGUCGAAACGUCUACCGGUGUAUCAAACCAACUGACCAUCACCUACGAUAAUGGUCGUCUCAGUAAAGAUGAAAUUGAGCGUAUGAUCGAAGACGCUGAAAAAUUACGAUACGAAGAAAAAAAACGAAAAGCUGCUUUACUCGCCAAGGAUGCUUUACAAACAUACUGUGUUGGCGUGAAGAGCACAGUAGAAGAUGAAAAAUUGAAAAGUAAAAUUGAUCGAUCUGAUAAAGACGUGAUUUUGAAAAAAUGCGAAGAAACCAUCUCCUGGUUGAAUUCUGACAAAUCAGCUGGAAAAGAGCAGUACGAAAAUAAGCAGAAAGAGUUACAAAAAAUAUUCGAUAUAAUUAUCUCGAUAGCUCGCUAUCCUACUAAAGAAAGCGACAAAUAUCGUGAAAUGUUAAACGUGACUAAAGAUGCCUCCGAAGAUGAAAUAAAAAAUUCCUUCAGGGAAAUAGCUUACAAAUACCAUCCCGACCUAUACCAAGGAGACAAGGAAAUAGGAAAACUGUAUUGGUUGACUUUCACGAGAGCGAAAACUUCCCUCAUCCAACUAGUAAAUGCAAUGCGAGGUAAAAACACCACCACAUGAAUGUAUAUUCGAUGAAUUCAAGUAGAAGAUACUUCCACAUUUUCCCGAUUUCUACUUUAUCUUCUACACUUCGAGAUUUAAUUUUGAAUUUUUUCUAAUGAUUUUAUCGGAGGCGCAGAUUUGGAUUUUAUGUCUGACGAGUUUAUAGGCGAUUAAAUCAACGGUACAUCUGUAAUAAUUGGUUUACAAUUUUUUUUUUUUUUUUUUUUUUUGUUAAAUAUGUUCUAUUGAGGUAUUUGAGGUACCUACCUACCUUUUUAUUGUUUUUAUUUUGUAUUAUUUGUUUUUAUAUGUUGUUUUUUUUUAAAGAUGGGUACGUAGGUAUAUAUAUGGUAAUUAUUACGAAUGAAAAUAUACGAGUAAGUAGGUACAUAUGUUCAAUACCAGUUCCUACAUAAGUACUUGAGAAUUGUAUUACGUAUAGUGUCUAUAUAUGUAGUUUUACGUUACCUAGUGUACAAGUGUAUCAUCUUGAAAUGCAUUUCUUGAAAAUUUUUUACAUGAAUAAUGUUUUUUAAUCCAGAAUUAUCAUUUUCUAUAUUGGUUGAUGUGAUGAAGAGCAGAAUGAAGAAGAGGGUAGUUCAUCAAAAGAAUUGAAGUGCUUCAAGUU